GUGUUUAGUAGGGUUUGUAGUUGGUGUUUAGUAGGGUUUAUAGUAGGUUUAUGGUAGGGGAUUGGUAGGUGUUUAGUAGGGUUUGUAGUAGAUUUGUUGUAGGGUUUAUAGUAGGUGUAUAGUAGGGUUUAUUAUAGGUGUUUAGUAGGUAUUUAGGAGGGUUUAUAGUAGGUGUUUAUAUUCCAUACAUACAGUAUCUUGGUAUCUUGCACCAUUUUUUGGCAGGUGUUUAUGUAGUGUUUUGGUAAAUGUUUAGGAGGAUCUUGAGUAAGUAAAAUAAGGUUUUGGUAGGUUUUUUUGUAGGGUUUUGCUCUGUUUUUGGUAGGUGUUUACUAGGUUUUGGUCGUUUCUACUAGUGUUUUGGUAGGUGUUUAGUAGGGUUUAUAGUAGGUGUUUAGUAGGGUUUAUAGUAGAUGUUUAGUAGGGUUUGUAGUAAGUGUUGAGUUGGGUUUAUAGUAGAUAUUUGGUAGGGAUAAUAGUAGGUGUUUUGUAAGGUUUAUAGUAGAUGUUUAGUAGGGUUUAUAGUUGGUGUUUAGUAGGGUUUAUAGUUGGUGUUUAGUAGGGUUUAUAGUAGGUGUUUAGUAGGGUUUAUAGUUGGUGUUUAGUAGGGUUUAUAGUUGGUGUUUAGUAGGGUAUAUAGUAUGUGUUUAGUAGGGUUUAUAGUUGGUGUUUAGUAGGGUAUAUAAUAUGUGUUUAGUAGGGUUUAUAGUUGGUGUUUAGUAGGGUUUAUAGUUGGUGUUUAGUAGGGUUUAUAGUAGGUGUUUAGUAGGGUUUAUAGUUGGUGUUUAGUAGGGUUUAUAGUAGGUGUUUAGUCGGGAUUAAAGUUUAGUAAGUUUUAUAGUAGGGGAUUUGUAGGGUUUUGAAAGGUGUUUAGUCAGGUUUAUAGUAGGUGUUUCGUAGUACGUAGUGUCGGUGUUUAGUAGUUUUGUUAGUAGCUGUUUAGUAGAGAUUAUAGUAGGUCUUUAGUAGGGGUUAUAGAUGUUGUUUAGUAAGGAUUAUAGUAGGUGUUUACUAGGGAUUAGAGUUCGUGUUUAGUAAGGAUUAUGCUUGUUGUUUAGUAAGGAUUAUAGUAGGUGUUUACUAGGGAUUAGAGUUAGUGUUUAGUAGGGAUUAUGCUUGUUGUUUUGUUGGGUUUAUAGAAGGUGUUUAGUAGGGUUUAUAUUAGGUGUUACAUAGGGAUUAUAGUUGGUUUUUAGUAGUGUGUAUAGUAGUUGUUUAGUUGAGUUUUUGUAGGUGUUUAGUAGGGUUCAUAUUUGGUGUUUAGUAGGGUUUAUAGUAGAUGUUUAGUUGGGUUUAUUGUAGGUGUUUAGUCGGGUUUAUAGUACAUUUUUAGUAGGGUUUAUAGUAGGUGUUCAGUAAGGUUUUGGUAGGGCUUUAAUAUGGAUUAUGGUAGGUGUUUAGUAAGGUAUAUAGUAGGUGUUUUGUUGGGUUUAUGUAGUUGUUGUAUAGUAGGGUUGAUAGUAGCUGUUUAGUAGAGAUUAAUAUAGGUAUUUAGUAGCAUUUAUAGUGUGUGUUUAGUAGGGAUUAUAGUAUGUGUUUAGUCGGGGUUAUAGUUGGUGUUUAGUAGGGAAUAUGCUAGGUUUUUUGCUUGGUUUAUAGUAGGUGUUUAGUUGGGUUUAUAGUAGGUGUUUAGUAAGGUUUAUAGUAGGUGUUUAGGAGGGUUUAUUAUAGGUGUUUUGUAAGGUUUUAUUGUAGGUCUUAAAAACCUCUCUAGUGUACGUUUUGACGGUAGCGUCCCACCUGGCCAACAUCCAGUGAAAUUGCAGAGCGCGAAAUUCAAACUACAGAAUUGUAAAUAUUUAACAUUCUUGAAAAUCCACAUGCAAUAUGUCAAAUUAAAGCUUGACUUCUUGUUAAUCCAGCCACGGUGUCAGAUUUCAAAAAGGCUGAGGACAGCACCCCAUGAAACAAACACAGACAAUCAUAUUUCAUCCCGCC
rnacentral:lncRNA from 1 species